GAUGAACGCUGGCGGCGUGCCUAAUACAUGCAAGUCGAGCGAACAGACGAGGAGCUUGCUCCUCUGACGUUAGCGGCGGACGGGUGAGUAACACGUGGAUAACCUACCUAUAAGACUGGGAUAACUUCGGGAAACCGGAGCUAAUACCGGAUAAUAUAUUGAACCGCAUGGUUCAAUAGUGAAAGACGGUUUUGCUGUCACUUAUAGAUGGAUCCGCGCCGCAUUAGCUAGUUGGUAAGGUAACGGCUUACCAAGGCAACGAUGCGUAGCCGACCUGAGAGGUUGAUCGGCCACCCUGGAACUGAGACACGGUCCAGACUCCUACGGGAGGCAGCAGUAGGGAAUCUUCCGCAAUGGGCGAAAGCCUGACGGAGCAACGCCGCGUGAGUGAUGAAGGUCUUCGGAUCGUAAAACUCUGUUAUUAGGGAAGAACAAAUGUGUAAGUAACUAUGCACGUCUUGACGGUACCUAAUCAGAAAGCCACGGCUAACUACGUG
rnacentral:rRNA from 1 species